UACGUAGGCAGCAAGCGUUGUUCGGAAUUACUGGGCGUAAAGAGUGUGUAGGCGGCGCUCCAAGUCUGGUGUGAAAUCUCCCGGCUCAACUGGGAGGGUGCGCUAGAAACUGGAAUGCUAGAGGAUGGGAGAGGUAAGCGGAAUUCCUGGUGUAGCGGUGAAAUGCGUAGAUAUCAGGAGGAACACCUGUGGUGUAGACAGCUUACUGGACCAUUUCUGACGCUGAGACACGAAAGCGUGGGUAGCAAACAGG
rnacentral:rRNA from 1 species